rnacentral:rRNA from 1 species
GGAAUCUUGGACAAUGGGCGCAAGCCUGAUCCAGCCAUGCCGCGUGUGUGAAGAAGGCCUUCGGGUUGUAAAGCACUUUUGUACGGGAAGAAAAGCAUCCGGUUAAUACCCGGUUGUCAUGACGGUCGCGUAAGCAUAACCACCGGCUACCUUCGUGCCAGCAGCCGCGGUAAUACGAAGGGUGCAAGCGUUACUCGGAAUUACUGGGCGUAAAGCGUGCGUAGGUGGUUUGUUAAGUCUGAUGUGAAAGCCCUGGGCUCAACCUGGGAAUUGCAUUGGAUACUGGCAGUCUAGAGUGCGGUAGAGGGUAGCGGAAUUCCCGGUGUAGCAGUGAAAUGCGUAGAUAUCGGGAGGAACAUCCGUGGCGAAGGCGGCUACCUGGACCAGCACUGACACUGAGGCACGAAAGCGUGGGGAGCAAAC